AAAAAACAUAGGAAUAAAUUUGACACUCUUCCAAAGACAAAGAUGUAGAACGAACGAAGAGAUGACUGGACGUCUUUGUUAUCCAAAAUGCAAAAAAUGAUACCCUAGAAGUGGAUGCUGUACAUGUGUAGCAAAUGGCGGACAGGUAUAGUAAAAACUCUUGCACAAAGGCAAAAGUGUCGUAAUGACGAAGACAAAAACGGCGCAUUGUGUUACCUCAAAUGUAAAGCUGGGUAUAAGCCUGUAGGAUGUUGUAUUUGCGAACCAAAUGACGGACAUGGUAUAAAGGUCACAUUAUUUCAGCGACAAACAUAAUGCAAAAAUAAUGAAAUCAAACGACA
rnacentral:lncRNA from 1 species